rnacentral:lncRNA from 1 species
CCCAUAGUUGCUUCAGCUCCAACAAAAUGCUCUUCUCAUUUUCGUAGACGUCACUCUGUAAACCACCCUGGAAAUGCAUAAAGGCAAGUAAGGAAACAAUGAAAUGGUAAACUUGUUUCCUGGGAAUUGAAAAUGUAGAUUUUACAACAUGAACAUGGUUAGUUUUCAUGGUUCCUUUGGUUCGAUUGUACUAGCUACCUCAUUCUCUACAAUCUCUUGUUUUAUUUUUUUCAAGUGUUUUGAUUGGAUAGUUAAUUAGCUUUGAAGAAACCGUGUAUCAUACAACACAAGUCAGUCAACAUGGACAAAAAUUGUUGCUGACUAUGAAAGGAAAAUGCUAGCAAAGUUGACUUGACUGACCUUUCUGGCCAAGAAAAAACCAGCAAAGCAAGAAGAUUUUUGCAUUUUCCAGAAAACGAUUAUCAAUAACAUAAUCAACAUGUUUUUGUUUGUAAUCUAAAGAACUGCCAAUUAUUUAUUUGAAUUAUUAAAAUGGGAAAACUCAAUUAGCUCAAAUUCAACAUAAUAUUAAUAAGAAAUAGCUUUUGAACCUAACUCAACUGUAAAAACAAGCUAAGAAUUGUCCGAAACUAUAUAAAGAGACCAAAUCCAUCAUCCCACUACAAUUUUUGUGCAAGCACAAGAAAGUGCACCUACAAAUUCAUUUUCACAGUCUCUUUUUCUUUCUCACAUGACUUCACAUAUUUCAUAAUGAGGGUAUCAAGUCAUCGUGGGUAAGUACAAAGGAAGGGAGGGAGUAAAUUACUAGCUUGACUUAGUCAGAAGGAGACAAUUAUUAUGGCUUGAUUUUUCAAAGCCAAAUACUUGGCUCUGGAUGACUAUUUAAUUGUUGAAAUAUGAUUUCUUUAUUAAAUCCACACUGACUUCACAGACUUCAUUAUCAAAUGAAAAGAAGCACAAGGGAAGCAUCAAUUAACAUGUUCCCAGCAAGCUCUAACCAUUUUUUGCUUAAUAUGCAAAUUUUCUUCCUAAUUAGCCUGUUUUUUCAAGAAACCUUACAAUUUUCGGGCACGGAACAGUCCAUAUUACUAAGCUUGAAACAACACUGGAGGGAUUCGGAGUUCCUCCAGUCAUGGAAUUUGAAUUCUUCAGUAUGCACUUGGUCAGGAGUUUCAUGCCUCGAUGACCGGGUAGUGACACAACUAAAUCUUGGAGAAAAGAACAUUACUGGAACAGUUCCAUCAACAAUAAUAUGUGAGCUUAACAACCUUACCUUCAUUGAUCUCUCCAACAACAACAUUUCAGGAACUAUACCACUAAGCAUGAAAGAUUGCUCAAUGUUACAACAUUUGGACUUGUCCAAGAAUUCUUUGAGCGGACAGAUUCCAGGCGAGUUGUUUGGGAUGAAACAAUUACUCAAUUUGUAUCUUAAUGGUAACAUGUUGUCUGGUGAGAUGCCAAAACAAAUAUCAUCUCAACUGGAAAAUCUUGAUCUUUCUGAGAAUCACUUGAACGGUUCGAUACCAGAAGAUAUUGGAAACUUCAAAAAUCUUUUGAAAUUGGAUCUGUCACAUAAUUCUCUCAGUGGUUCAAUUACAAGCAAGUUGUUUCAGUUGCAUGAUUUGCGUCACCUGUCGCUAAGUUCCAACUACUUGUCCAGUGUGAUACCUGAUGAAAUGGACUUGUUUAGUUUGUAUGAUAUGGAUCUUUCACACAACCAAUUGACUGGUUCUAUACCAAAGCGAUUUAGGGAUUUACCUGGACUGGAUUCUAUGGAUUUGUCUUUUAAUCAGUUAUCAGGAGACAUUUCAAAAAGUAUAGAACGUCUUAGGCCUAGAAAUACUUUAAGGCUUUGUUCCAACAAAUUCUCAGGAAGAAUUUCUACUGAAUUUGUAAAGUUGACAUACGAAGAGAAUUGCUUUGACGAGUCCAAUCUUUGUUCUACAUCCAACAACUUAUACAUCCCCGGCCUACCAAGCUGCUCCUCUGGUGAUGAGGUUCGAAAAUCUUCGAAACCAAAACACUUGAUUAUUCCUAUUGUAGGAGUUGGGGUAGCUACACAGUUAUCAUGGAUCUUUUACAGAACAAGAAAGCAUUGGUGGAAAACAAAGAAGCAGAAUGUCAAAGAUGACAUGAAGUUCAUUUCAUUUCAAAAGUUGAAGGUGACUACAGAAGACAUUUUAUCUAGCUUGAAAGACGAAAACAUAAUAGGAAAUGGAGGAUCAGGGAAGGUCUAUCGAGUUGUGAUCGACCAAACAGGCAAUACUUACGCUGUUAAAAGCAUAGGGCAUGGAAAAAAAUCAGGUGAAAGACCCCAAAAGGAGUUCCUGGCAGAAGUUAGAACACUUGGUAGCAUUCGACACAACAACAUUGUCAAGCUCAUGUGUUGCAUCUCAAGUGUAGACAGAAAGCUUCUAGUCUAUGAAUACUUUGAGAAACAAAGCCUCGACAAGUGGCUUCACAGAAAGAAAAGAGAAGCGUCACCCGGUCAAAGUAGUACCCCAUCCCUGGAUUGGCAAAAGAGAUUAAAAAUAGCCACUGGUGCAGCUCAAGGACUCAGCUAUAUGCACCACGACUGUACUCGACCCAUCAUUCAUAGAGACAUUAAGUCCAGCAAUAUACUUCUGGACUCAGAAUUCAAUGCAAAAAUAGCAGAUUUUGGACUAGCAAAAAUACUAUCCAGGCGGGAUGAUAAUCCUGAGACAGCUUCUGCUAUUGCUGGAACAUUUGGUUACAUUGCACCAGGUCUAUUACCGUUCAAAUAUAUAUCGUACCUCGUGAAUUCUCAAAAGAAUUUAUCCAACUCUAAUAUUAAAUUUUAAUGUUUGGUCCUCACAGAGUAUGCCUCGACAUUCAGAGUGAAUAUAAAGACAGAUAUAUAUAGCUUCGGAGUGGUGCUAUUAGAAUUAACAACAGGGAGACAACCCAUUCUCAGGGAGGAGCAAAUGAAUCUGGCACAAUGGGCUCAACAGCGUUACAGAGAUGGAAAUUUCAUUGUUGAGGCCCUUGAUGAAGAAAUCAUGGAAACAAGUAAUGUGGAACAAAUGAGAGGUGUUUUUAAACUAGGACUGAUGUGUACUGGAGCAACACCAUACGGUAGGCCGUCAAUGAAGGAGGUCUGCAACAUUCUUCAAAGCUUCAGAGACACCAUAUUUUGAGAAAACAGAAUGUUUAGCCUUACAUGGAUAAAUGUAGUUGUAUUUUUUUAACAGAAUGAGAAAGUCUCAAUAGCCUCAGCUGGUUUAAGUGGUGUCAAACACAAGGGCUUGUAAGCUUUACCUUAGAAUGUAAUUCCUUGUUCAUAAUUGAGAUGUCGCGAGGCAAGAGCUAAGUGUCUUGGCAAUUACAGUUUAUGUAUAUAUCAUUCGGGAGAUUAGACAGAUUUUAAGCACACUGAGCAUUAAGGUCUAACAAUGCUUUAGGAAAGUAAUCAUGAUAUCCGCAUGGAGGUUAGAAUCAUAUCUUCUUCUUUUUUUAACUCUUCAGAACUCCCUAAGGAAGCUUUUGGAACUUACAGGUUUGAUGAACUGCAAAUGCCUUCUUUCAGAUAUAAAUCCUUCUCAUGAUACAUGGGGAUAAUCUUGUAGGAAGUCUAGUUCUUUUAGUUAAGUUGAAUGGGAUCGUCCAUUUUCGAAAAGGGGGCACAACUUGAAGGCAUAAUUGAUUGGAAAAAAAAUAAUCGAAAGAUAUAGGAGAGUGUUUUUUAAAUGAAUAAGUCCUUAUUGUAGUUGAGGAGAUGAUAAUCAACUUCAAGAAGAACUUUCAUCUCAAAAUACUAAAAAAAAGUUUUUCAUACUAUCAAUGUUAUUGAAUUGCCUCUGCAUAUGAAUAUACUUCAUAAUAAAUGUGGGACUUCUCACCGCGAAUCUGAAUUUAGUUAAACCUCAAUGCAUGUACCGGACAUUGGGUGAAAACAAAAAAGGAUAGUAUGAAAAACUAUCCCAAGUGUUGCAAACCUAUUAGCUGGAACUGUCCUCGCACUGAAUGUAGAAAUGCAAUAUUGAUGGCUCCUCUAAUGAAAAUCCAGACCCCAGAUCGUGGACCUUUUUGUAUCAGAGAUAUUAUGGGAGAGUUAAUUUAUGCUACUACUAAUGUCAUGAAUCAUGAUUAACACUACUAGCCUAUGUGCUGAGGCUAAAGCAAUAGAAAAGGAGUUGGAAUAUUCUGUGAGCCAUCAAUACAACCUCUUAUAAUAGAGACUGAUUCAACCAAGUUGCGGAUUUUUUAGCUAAUUAUGUGUUCAUUAUCAAUAUCUACUAUAUGAAGCAAAGAAAUUAUUGAACAUUGAUAAGCAACAAGUUCCCGGGUGAUAUUUUAAAAAAAAGGCAGGAACUAGCAACAAGAACAACAAGCAGGCUACUCAAUCAACUAUCACAAUAGACUAUCCAUACAAAAUAUACAAAUCUUCAUGAGUACAACCAGAGUAAUAACAAAAUACAGAUGGUGAAAUUAACUUGACAAAUCCUCCAAAUAUUUUCUUAUCAAAAGUGGUAUCAAUCUCAAACAAGGUUCAAUCUUUUGGGGAGGAAAUAUUAGAGGACUAUCUCGGGGGUUUUUGACACUUUACUCGCUUCUUGGAAACUAUUUUGAGGAUGGUAACAUGUUACACCCCAACUUAGGGAUGCAACUAGCACCUGGUGCGACACUUGACCCUGAGUCGAUCCUUGCUGGACAACUACGCUACCAACAUAACACCAGCCACAAAAUCAAAAAAACAAACAAGUAUAUUUCAACUUAAAAAUAAGGCCUCUAUCGGCAAGGACCCUGUCAACAUAAUCUUCAAUAAACUCAACUACUCCCAGCAAUUCAUAUAGAAUAGAAACUAAAUCAUUUAUUGCCCGUCAAGGUCACUGUUAUAUCUAGAAACAUAUAAACUGAACACAUAUAGUCAUAUAUGAUUAAGGCCAACAAGCCACUAAGCUAAAAGGGCAAAACAACAAGGCCAGCAUAGCCAACAACACACAUCUAUUCAAUCGAAAGUUUGCAAGCCUCUAAGAGUAAUAUACUUGGUCGGGACCCUUAUACUUCCUGUCCCGACCUACCUAUUAGUUGAAUAUGACAAAACACUAGCAAACCUUUAAAUUUGGCAACUCUAGAAGAAAUAGAGCUGACCAAUCUUCUGGAACUCAGCUACACUAUUGAGGAGGCUUGUUUAGCUGUCUGUCAGGAUCUGCAGGCAAAAAUGCAGCACCCCUGCCCCAGGUAUGAGGCGUCAUUAUGAAUUGAUAUAUCGAGUAUAAAAGGCAAUAGAAUAACUGAGCAGGUAUCAUAAUGUACCAAAAGUAAUCAGGUAAGGAAGUCAAGAAUUAGAUGAGUGUACUGACCUGUAACACCUUAGAAUUUGGCAAGUGUGGUUUGGAAAGUGUCAUGGUUUUAACGGGCAGGUUCAUGGACAGUGAAGUGGUCCACGACCUGCCAACCCAUCCGUGAACCCUACUCCCCAAGGCUCAGGAGAACUUGAUCCCUCACGGACGCCUGAACGGUCUGUGGAAGGGUAAAUGUCCAGUUGAUAGGGCCGUGGUGAUUGGCAAUAAAAUCCCAUUUUUUCUCUCUUGUUCACAAUCACCUUCAUGGACCGUGAAGUGAUAACCGGUCCGUGAAGGCCUCCGUACAGGGGUCCCGUUAGCUUUUAAGUCAGGGCUAUUCUAGUAUUUUCCUAUGCGUCUAAUACCUAAGCUAUGUUGUUUUGACCCCUAUUCUAAGACCUAUAUAAGUAUUUUAAUUCCUAAAACUACCCAUUCUAAAAUCAUUCUCCUAAAAUCUCAAAUUCCCUUCAAGUUCUUCCCCCAAAUUCCUCUCUCUCAAGCAAAGAAAGAAAAAGCUAGGGUUUCACUUCAAGGUCUCCAAUUCACCAUAAAAUUUGGGCCUUGAUCAUCAAGAUAUGUUACUAUUCACCUAUGGAGUCUUUUCCUCCAUUGGGUUCCCAAAGGUCCCAAUUCUACAAGCUAAAUUUUCAAUUCAAAGUUAGGAUUUUAUUCAAAUUCCAUGAAUUCUUCUCAAUUAUGAUUCAAUUAGUUAUUUCCUAGCUUCUAAUGCAUGAAUUGAAGUAUUUACAUGAUUUUGAGUUGAAUUCAUAUGAACUCAUGCAUCCAUGAUUUUUACUAUGAACACAUGAUGAAACUUAUGAACUAUGCAAUAUGAAUAUAUGAAGAUAUGCAUGUUUUUGUGAAAUUAAUGUAUGACUUGAGGAUGCUUUAGAUGAAAGUAUCAAUAAGAUUGUGAAAAGUUUUCUCACAUGCUACUAUGAUCAUGAUUGUAAAAGGUUUUCUUACAUAAGGUUGAAAGGUUUUCUCACCUAACUUGAACUAAGAUUUAAGGAGCUAUUCUAAAUGACUUUAGCUUGGAUUGGUAGCUUAAACGUGCCUUUCCAUGGAUGAUGAAUAUGAUUAAUGACUAUUCUGUGGGAUUUUACUUAGCACCGAGAGGAUAUUGAGAUGGAGGCUCUCCAAUUAGUAGAGGUCGGGUCUCUAGUAGCAAUCUCCUUGUCCCUAACUACGUGCCCCCGUAGGAUUUCUUAGCUAGUGGAUCCACGUAAACUAGAAGUUUAUGGUCCUUACUUAGCAAGUAGGACAUCUCGAAAUAGACACCGGAUUUCAUGUUUUAGAGCACAUGUUCCAUAUCGGUUAAUGGAAAACAUCCCACAAUAAUGAACUAGAUUAUUUUCAAAGUAUCUCACCAAGUGUUUUAAAUAUGUUAACCUUGCAUUGACCAUGAUUAUGACUUGUGUUUCUAACACCGUAUCUUAUGCUUUAUCUUGGCUAUUGCAUAUCAUGUAAAGUCUUUUUAGCAUGAUUUCAUAUUGUUUGUGCAUUGUUAUCAUACUUAGUAUAUUCCAUGUACUAAUGUAUACUUGUGCCUAUAUUGUUUCCCUAAUGUAGGGUCCGAUGCUCCUACCUCGCAUACUUGUGGCUAGUUGAUCUCUCUUGUCGAUUUGAAGAUUGGUGAGUCAUCAUGUUCCGAGGACCAAGACACUUUUAUAGCUUUUCUUUAUUUCAGUUUUCAGACAUUGUACGUGGCGUAUGGGUUAUAUCCCAACCACUUCUUUUGAUGUAUUAGAUGGCUUGUUGAAACUAUGUUAGACUUCCGCUUUGUCAAAAAAAUUUAUGAUAUGAGAAUAUUUCUUUGAAAUCUUUAUUUCUAUUAUCUAGUAUGAUACAUGGUAAGUGACUAGCAUAGGGCCUCUCGGGGUUCUAUACGCUGUAUUACACCUAGGGUAUACUUUGGGUCGUGACAAACUUGGUAUUCAGAGCACAAGGUUUAGAAAGGUCCUAGGAUGGCUCACAAGCCACGUCAAGUAGAGUUUGUUCAUGAGUGUGAAGCGCACCAUAUUUAUGAAUAGGAGGUAAUAGCCUAUAAGAUGUUUAGGAAAUUCCACUUCUUUCUUUAUUCUAAAGUCGGGCGAUAGAGUAUAACUCUGUAUGUCUCUCUCAUAAUCCUUACCCGAUGCUUUUCGGGAUAUGGCUCCUCGAAGAGCCUACGUUAGAAGGAAUGCUGGAGAGAAUGUGGAAUAAGAAGCUCAUCAAUUUCUGGCCGACCCUUUUGCCGAACAAAUGACUAAUGCGGAGUUCUGAUUCGUUUUUCAUGUUUUGCCCUCAAGUUCAUAGGUAUUGCAAUCACAUAAGUUUUAUGUCAAACUAAUUGUAAUGAUGUGAAUAUCAACAAGGAGUGAUAUGCAGCUAAUUACAAAGCCAUUAAGGCAUCAACAACGUAAUGAGCUAUCAAUACCCCAUCUAAGCAAUGACAAUUUAUCCAAGAAGAUUCUUACGUCGCUUUUUAACAUGUAUCACCAACUAAACAAGAAUAAUCCCAAUAAGGAAAGCUCACAUGUAUACAUAUAUAUAACUCUAGCAACCAACUCCAUCAACAACUAUUAUGACUAUGAGUACUAUGGUGAUAAAGAACAAGUCGCAUUACCUAUACGACAAAGAAACUUGCCGAAAAAAGUUAAGCUUUAACAUACCUUUUUUCAUCGAAUUUACUCUGUCAUAUUACUUCUGCCCGCACCUUAUGAUACUCGCUGCAGACACCCAAAGAACUUUCAAGAACUCAAAACACAGCCAGAUCCCUACUGACACAACUUCCACAGAGCUACACCGCACAAUCCAC